AGGGGUGUAGCUCAAUGGUAGAACAUUUGCCUAGCAUGUGCAAGGUCCUGGGUUCCAUCCCCAGCACCACAA
rnacentral:tRNA from 1 species